CUGAUUUCAAAGAUUGGGGGGCUAUGUGACUCAACCACCUCCUUCUCACACAAAAUACAACAACUAAAAAGAACAAAUUGCAUUCAAUAUGAAAAUUGGAUAAGUUUGUGAUUAAAAUCACACCUGUAACAGUUGCGUUAUUAUGCUUUAAAAUGAAAGAUUUGGAAUACAAUAAGAUAGUGGCAUUGAAAAGAUUUUCUACGGUUUUAGUAUUUUUCGCCCACCAUCAAUGCCACAACACUCGAUGACAUCAGGACAACAGCUGGGAGGGGGUACAAAAGCUGUGGUGAAUGUCAUGAUGGCCAUGACUACCAUGAUCACUAACACCAACUGCGCUACAGAUUUCAUUUUUCCUUUCUUCUCUAUAAUAAGAUCCUUUAUAACAAAGUAAUGAUGUAUUUCUCUUUU
rnacentral:lncRNA from 1 species